rnacentral:rRNA from 1 species
CCUACGGGCGGCUGCAGUGGGGAAUCUUGCACAAUGGGGGAAACCCUGAUGCAGCGACGCCGCGUGAGUGAAGAAGUAAUUCGUUAUGUAAAGCUCUAUCAGCAGGGAAGAAAAUGACGGUACCUGAGUAAGCAGCCCCGGCUAACUACGUGCUAGCAGCCGCGGUCAUACGUAGGGGGCAAGCGUUAUCCGGAUUUACUGGGUGUAAAGGGAGCGUAAACGGCAGUGCAAGUCUGGAGUGAAAGGCGGGGGCUCAACCCUCGGACUGCUCUAGAAACUGUACGGCUUGAGUGCAGGAGAGGUAAGUGGAAUUCCUAGUGUAGCGGUGAAAUGCGUAGAUAUUAGGAGGAACACCAGUGGCGAAGGCGGCUUACUGGACUGUAACUGACGUUGAGGCUCGAAAGCGUGGGGAGCAAACAGGAUUAGAUACCCCUGUAGUC